rnacentral:lncRNA from 1 species
GGUUGUAUUUAAGGUAAACUUCUGACCUUGGGGUUGUAUAAACUGGUCUAUGGUGAAACUGUACAUUCAGUAAAACUUCAUUGAAUUUGAAUUGGAUGUUGAAUGCCAUUUUUUGCAUAGUGUAAACUACAAGCAGUUUGCCAUGAAAUUCUAUUUCUUUUUCACUUUUAAGAAACAAUUACUGACCAGCAGCAGUAAUAUUUAUGCAAAGUUUACUGAAAUUUUGAGCAUCUACAGUUUACUGAAAUUUUGUGUGACUUGUCAAUGAUUAUGCAGCAAAUUAAACUUGUGUUUACUUAGACUUGCUUGUGAUCUUGUUGUGCAAAGUGGUUGAAGUACCUUCUUUUUCUACCCAUCUUCAUAAAGCCUAUAUUAAAUGCAUAAUUUAUACAAAUUAUUCUAUAAGAUUUGUAAAAGCACACAUUUCACUAUGUAAGUAUGUUGUUUUAUUUGCCCUUUCUAGUAUUGAAAUUCAGGACGGGAAAGGUGAAGUUGGAACAUACUAGUGGGUAGUCUUUGCAUUACUGUUGCCAUUGCAUUUGUUUGGUUCUGACCUCAGUAGCAGUACACUAAUGCUGUUAGUCUUUGUGUUCACUCUUUUACAGGAGCGCCAGGACAAAUUUGAAGUGCAAAGCCAUGAAGCCAAGUGCAAAGCCGUGAUGCUAGAGAUUUGUUUGUUCUGUUUGACUGUAAUAGGCUGUAGAGAUUGUAACAUUGUAAAAAAUUUAGGGUUAUUUGAUAAAUUACGUUUCUUCUGUUUUGUUUGAAAUAGUGAUUUUAAAAUGUGUGAAAUGGAAACCUGAUUAGUGGGAUCCACUUACCAAAGUAAUCUGAACAAUGUUGAAAUAUCUGAGCAAUGUUGAAAUAU